rnacentral:tRNA from 1 species
GGCGCUAUGGCAGAAUGGUAAAUGCACCAGUCUAGAAAACUGGAGUCCUUUGGACGUGUUAGGUUCAAUUCCUACUGGCGCCG